AAAAAUCAUGACAGAAUCCCUUUAAGAUCAUACAUUGAUAUUAUUUAACAGAUGAAUGAAACAUAAUGUAAAUCAAAUACUGAUUCCAAACCAACCAGUUAUAUAACAAACAGCCCGUAUGUCUUUAUAUAAAUAUUCAUAAAUAUUCAAAUCAACAGUAGGAGCAAGAUAAUUCUGCUGUAAACUGGUUAUUUCAGUAUUUACCACUAGAUGGCAGUAGGAAGCCACAGGUCAUUGGUUGGUACUGGAGAUGCAGCAGCAGCAGUCUGUAUCCAGUGAUGUAACUAAAGGGGAAGCAGACCCUGGGUUGCAGGGAGCCUGGUGAACAGGGGGGCAUGGACCGGAAAUUUGCCUUUUUAUUCUCACCUUGUCUCAUGGCUGGAGCAGCCCUGCUGGGCUCAGUGGCUUGAAGGAUCACUCCAGGGAAGCUCACGGCAGGAGCAGAUCCCAUGAUGGUGGUGGUGUGCCCCAGGAGAGAAGAACAUUUUCAGGGCCUUCCUCACCAUUUGUACCAGUACUGGUCGCUAUCACCAAUGUAAUAAGCAGAAGAGGGAGCCCUGGCACCCUGUGAGAGCAGCUUGUGGUUCUGGAAUGCAACCUUUCCUAUGACGUGGGCUACAGUGAGCGCAGGAUGGCACGUGCCAUCUGUACAGAGAAGCUGAUCUCUUUCAGAGCAAAAAUACACUCAGCGGGGAAGAAGAAAUCUCAACAUUGAGCAGUCACCAUUGGGUUUACAGGAGAAGGAAAGCUACAGAGACUGACGUGGAAACUUCGGGCGACUUUGGAAAACGGAUGUCAUCCCAC